rnacentral:rRNA from 1 species
UGAGGAAUAUUGGUCAAUGGGCGGGAGCCUGAACCAGCCAAGCCGCGUGAGGGAUGAAGGCCCUAUGGGUCGUAAACCUCUUUUGUCAGGGAACAAAAGCGAGUAUGUAUACUAGUCUGAGUGUACCUGAAGAAAAAGCAUCGGCUAACUCCGUGCCAGCAGCCGCGGUAAUACGGAGGAUGCGAGCGUUAUCCGGAUUUAUUGGGUUUAAACGGGUUGCGUAGGGCGGCGAUGCAAGUCAGCGGUAAAAGCCCGGGGCUCAACCCCGGCGAGCCGUUGAAACUGCAGUGCUAGAGAAGGCGAGAGGUACGCGGAAUGCGCAGUGUAGCGGUGAAAUGCUUAGAUAUUGCGCAGAACUCCGAUUGCGAAGGCAGCGUACUGGCGCCUGACUGACGCUGAGGCACGAAAGCGUGGGGGAUCGAACAGGAUUAGAUAACC